GAAGGACCAGGCAGCAAGCAGAGCCACAGCUCUCCUUUUUAUUCCUCCUGUGUUGGCUGGGCUUGUGCAGAUGGAUUCACGGAGAGGCAAUGCUGAAGGGAAGGAGAUGGAGGCUGGCCACAGGCACCAAGCAGCUCCACACCCACUGGAAGCCAGAGAGAGCCCUUUCUGUGGAUGCUGGCGAGCUUUGGAGCAGAUGUGACAGCAGCUGUGCAAGAACAGUGAUCAAAAAAACACUACAUGGAACCCCAGCAGCACAGCAACAUUCAAAAAGGAGGCCGUCCACUCCAAGGAAUGAAAAAUAGGCACUGGAAACAGCUGGACUAGUCUUCAAAACAUCACUUUAUGGGCAACUUUAGUGCUUCUGGAAUGCUUCCAGGAGAACAGAUAGCUGCUCUUCCACUACUGAAUUCUCUUCCACUGGUUCAAACCGUCGUUUGGGUCACAAGGCAAUUAUUUAUGACCUAAGAUUCUGGAGCAAAA
ensembl:lncRNA